GCAAGAUGCCUCUCACGGGAGAUUCUCCAGGACGCUCCUGCCUAUCCUGUUUAUUAAGGAAAAAGCGCUUGGACUCGGAAUGGAGUCAUCACAGCAACCACAAUCAGUGGAGCGUGCGGAAGCGGUUUACGUUACGGGAGCAUAGACUAAUGGAAGUUUUUUUGGGUGUAUCGCCAGCGUAGAUUUUCUUCCGCUACUUGUUUCAUCAUGAACAACGUCGUGUUCCACAAAUCCUCUAUCGAAUGGAACAGCGUGCCUUUGUGUAUGCCGCUGGUACAGUACCCACAGAGCAGAUCGCUCUUGAGAAGCCCCUGAUCAUAUGAUAGGGCACUGGCCACGGAAACCGCGGAGGCCACGGUUGGGAGCUUUCCGCCACCGCCAUGGCUGUGUACCGAGCGAUGAAAGAGGUCCUCACGCGUCGUAGCGCAGCGUUCGGAAGAGAAUGUGUUUUAGACAUACGAGAACACGUGACUCCGACCAAGUGUGAACGCUGCCAACGGCGGCAGCGGUGUUGUGUAUAUCAAGAAGAUGAACAAGGCAAGUGAAGCGCAGAUCGAAACGACCUCCUGUGCGUGCAAUGCGUCGACAACACCCGGAAACUGCGAAACCAGAACUUGAACGCUGGUCUCAUGAUCCAUCGACUGGUUAUAUCGGAGCUGGAGCAAAAGCUGAGACCGGCAUGGGUAAAGUCGGAGAUAACAGCGCAUCAGAGGAAGCAGCCGCCGAGAAAGCCGGUAAACGCUAGCGUCGAUCGCAUUGGAAACGGACCCGAACCUCUGGUGUGCGUUGUAUUCAGAGAACCCGUCCCGUUUUAUGCUGACAUGGACGUUAAGGGUGCGCGUACGCGCACGAACGGUUCUUGGCUCCGAAUGGGUGCGUUCUAGACUCACUCACCAGCGGGGCGUGCAUGUCAACCAGGAAUUCAAGCUUUAAAAAGGGAUAUAGAACACAAUAUGCUUUACCAGAGAUCCCGAAAGACCUUUUGUGAAUUCAGUACAACAGAAUCGACAUCUACUUCUGAUUCCGCUGAUCGUGGUUGCGUCUGUGACCUUCCAUACCCGAGUUCGUGCUCACACCAGCGAGAAGAAAACGAAACGUACUCAUUGGGCCACCCGGUGCUCUACGCAGCAUGUUUCGCUUUCAUAUGUUGCUCAAGAGCACUUGCCAUUUUGAACGAUUUGCCGCACGUGGAACAGGAGACGCUACCAGACAGGGCAUUUGCAGCGGCAACGCUCGAAGCAGCCGCAGCUGCUGCUGGGUUGCUACUCCGCUCCGAUGCGCUCCGCUUCUUCCCGCGCUCCUCUGGCUCCAAAGUUUCUGGAAAACGCACGUGCUUGGUGCCUGCAUGGCUCUGGUCUGUAGAGGAUUCGCUGCGAGGAGUUGUGCCCCGUUUGCUCGUCCCGUCCGCUGCAGACGAAGACAGCCCUGUUUUCGCGUCGCCAGCCGAUGAUGCGCCUUCUUUGCGAUUCUUCUGUUCGGCUUUGCGUGUUGACGUUUGAGCGCCACCGCUUGUCAACGCCCCAGCAUCAGUUGCUGCGGCAGUCGCUCCUGAUCGUGCUCUGGUACGAUGUGCUGUGCGAUCCGCGUCCGCAUGUUUCACUCGAUCAGCUUGCUCACUCUCCAUAAUUUCAGUAAUUCGGACGCUUCUCCUGUGCCCAGAGAGCGGCGGUGACGGCAGAGGCUCAUCGUCCGAUGCCGAGCUCGACCCGGAUGCCGAAUACUCUGCAAUCCCGUCAUCGCUCUCGGAACCUUCGUAGCUCAUUUCCACAUCGUCAUCGUAUUCAGCAUCGGUUUCCGAGUCAUAUUCGUCUAUCUCGAUUUCGGUGUGUCCAGAGAUGUAGAUGGUAUCCUUGCCAUACGUGCGAAAAUGAAGUACACGUGGUCCAACAAUCUCUAGGUUGAGCGACUGGCUCUCCACUUUUCCUGGAAGGAGCACGCACACCGGGAUGCUACGUAUCACUGGUGUGUCGGGAAAAGAAUCAUCUUCAUCAUCGGAUACUUCCGAGGCGCUCUCGUCCUCGGAGGAGACGAGCGCUUCGUCGGCAGACUCUUCGGAACCGGUACCAGUGGCCGAGCUCUCGGGGCUAGACUCCUGCGAAUCGCCCUCAUCAUCCUCUGAAUCUGAUGCGUCUUCAUCGAUACCGUUCACCAUGGCUUCAUCUGCUUCAGAACUACCAGAUCCAGAAUCCGAUCCGCUACUUGAUUCAGAUUCCGAAGCCACUUCGUCGCUAUCCGCGCUAGAGUCCUCAUCGUCCGAAAAACCGCGCUUCGGCACGUCUAGGUCUUCCAUCACUAAAACAGAUCGUUUCCCCUUGGGUUUCUUGAUACCGAGCGAGGCCGACGAGAUCACGACGUACUCGCCGUCCUCGACUCUGUGCUCGACAGCGCGCCCCGGCGGUACUUUCAAGCCCCAGAUAAACGACAAGGUCGGGCCCGGAACGCCCUCUUUGUAAG
rnacentral:misc_RNA from 1 species